rnacentral:tRNA from 1 species
UCCCGGAUCGUCUAAAGGUAGGACAAACGGUUUUGGUCCGUUGAAUGAGGGUUCGAAUCCUUCUCCGGGAGCCC